rnacentral:rRNA from 1 species
CGGAGGGUGCAAGCGUUAUCCGGAUUCACUGGGUUUAAAGGGUGCGUAGGCGGGUAUGUAAGUCAGUGGUGAAAUCCCGGAGCUUAACUCUGGAACUGCCAUUGAUACUAUAUAUCUUGAAUAUUGUGGAGGUUUGCGGAAUAUGUCAUGUAGCGGUGAAAUGCAUAGAUAUGACAUAGAACACCUAUUGCGAAGGCAGCAGGCUACACAUAUAUUGACGCUGAGGCACGAAAGCGUGGGGAUCAAACAGGAUUAGAUACCCUGGUAGUCCACGCCCUAAACGAUGAUUACUCGACAUACGCGAUAAACUGUGUGUGUCUGAGCGAAAGCAUUAAGUAAUCCACCUGGGAAGUACGACCGCAAGGUUG